AACGAACGCUGGCGGCAUGCCUAACACAUGCAAGUCGAACGAGACCUUCGGGUCUAGUGGCGCACGGGUGCGUAACGCGUGGGAACCUGCCCUUAGGUUCGGAAUAACUCCCCGAAAGGGGUCCUAAUACCGGAUAAUGUCUUCGGACCAAAGAUUUAUCGCCUUUGGAUGGGCCCGCGUUGGAUUAGCUAGUUGGUAGGGUAAAAGCCUACCAAGGCGACGAUCCAUAGCUGGUCUGAGAGGAUGAUCAGCCACACUGGGACUGAGACACGGCCCAGACCCGUACGGGAGGGAGCAGUGUGGAAUAUUGGACAAUGGGCGAAAGCCUGAUCCAGCAAUGCCGCGUGAGUGAUGAAGGCCUUAGGGUUGUAAAGCUCUUUUACCCGGGAUGAUAAUGACAGUACCGGGAGAAUAAGCUCCGGCUAACUCCGUG
rnacentral:rRNA from 1 species